GACAUGUGUUGAAAAACUGAUUCCACUCUCCGGUUUCGUUCUACUGAUGUUGUCUGCUAUCGACUUCUUUUUCGCCUGUGAAUAUGCUGCCAGAGAGAAGGCGAAGGUUUACACAAAAUUCGUUUCUCCAAUCAAUGGUUUUAUUCCUUUCGUAUUUAUGGUUUGUUGUGUGACUGUAGUUCACUGGUAAAGACGUAAAAGUUGGAACAACAUCAGUUUAAGGGAGCCUCUCUCGCUUUGAUCAAAGAAGCCAGACAUGAUUGUCUUCGACAACAAGGUUCUUAUUCGAGAGUCAUUCACAAAGAGAAGCAAAACAUGACCCGUGCGGUUACUGAUGCCACGAUACACCAUUAGCUCAAUUUGCGACAGCCGACAGGAAAAAACAGUAAAAGCUGGUAAAUAUGGAAACCAAAGUGGCACGAAAAACUGCCUGUAUUUAGCAAGAUGAUGUACGUAAGGGAAAAUUUGUGUCAUCAGGAGAAAUGAAACUGCAUGUCCAUAGAGAAAAUUAAGCCUGGAGGUAACAUCCUGGAUAAACUGAAAGAGUUUUCUCUUUUGAAAUAUCAUGGAAAUCAUGCUGGCCAUGGUAGCAGAUCUUGCUCCAGAAUUCCAACUCUUGCACCACAAGAUCGCAAAUAUGUUAAUCAUCUUCGAAGUGGCGGUCAUGAUCGUACACUUACUGUUGUGGAUUUAGCUGACAAGCCUGAACCGUCUGCUCCUAAAAUUAUCCCUAAGUGCAUGGUAAUUAAUGCUCGAUCUCUCGCUAAACCAGAAGCAGCUUUGGCUCUUCACAUAGAGCUCCAUUCUAAUAAUAUUGACAUCUGCUUUGUCUCUGAAAUGUGCCUCAGUGUGAGUUUUCACUGUAAACUUGGACUGGGAAUUCCUAAAAAUUCCUAGGAAUUCCCAACUGAAACAACUCUGGUUCUAAAAACCUAGAAAUUCCCAAAAAUUCUGCAUUUAUUGCCAGCAGGACUUGAAAUUCCUAGGAAUUCUUACGAAUUCCAACUCAGAACACCAAUGAUUUUACUGAAAGACUGUAAAUCUAAAAGCUUGCCAGAAAUUCCUGGGAAUUUUUAGGAAUUUCUCUGAAUGUUUAAGAAUUACUGGGAAUUUUAGGAAAUCUGAGGCAACUAACAUCAAAUGAAGAUUAACUGCCAACUAAAAGUUCAAGCAGUCAAUGAAAUUGAUUUGCAUGCUUAACUCAGUUUUACAUGUAAAUUAUUUGUUACUGUAUAUUAACAUCAACAUGUUGUAAUGGUAAUGGUAAAGGUAAAGUCUGUUUUCAAGCCUCGUGGCCCAUUAGGCCAAUGCUUAACUCCAGUUUCUGUAGCAUGAAGCAACUAGGAGUAUUGCUACUCCCCCCUGGAUGGGAUGCCAGUCCA